rnacentral:lncRNA from 10 species
UUUUUUUAAGGCGGGGCGGGGCUGGGGGCGCGGCGUCGCGGAGCUCGGGCCGGUGGAAGGUUUACCUGCUAGGCUCGUCCCACCUGUGUGGAGCUCCCAUCGCCCUCCAGCGUUGCGCAGCCUGAAGGGACAGGACGGACAAGCGGGUGCCUCCUUCUAAUUCAUCUUCACCAUUGUGGUUGUCAAUAUGGCAUGCAGAAUUAUCCCUCUUUCCAGGUUUUCCCCAAGGACCCUGGACAAUGCUGGUUUUUCCUAUGUGCACCACCAAAGGGCCUAUCCAGCUUCUGGAGUCUACCUGGAUUCCUGGGCUCAUGGCCCCUUCCUCCAUCUUCAAACCAGCAAUGAUGGAGCUGAGCCUGACACUCUAACCGGUUCUCUGGGUGUACUGCAAAGGUCUAAUAAAAGGCACCUUUGCCCGGUUGCUUCAAUUCUAGGAAGCUGUUCAAUGUUUGACUAUAUUUCUCCAUACUCAUUUGAAAACAGUUCAUCAGAUUGGAACGACCUGGAGCAGCCAGCAGAGUGACAAAUGAGGAAGAGGACAGAAUCUAGCUGAAGAAGCUCUGGAAGAUACCAUUUGAAGUCUUGAGUGCUUGAACUCACAAAGAAAGCACAUGAGUACACACUAGCACUUGAGCUCUUCAUUUUAAACAGAAUAAAGAAUGUACUGCUAUUAUUGUCAUUUUACAGAUAGGGAAAUUCAGACUCACCAGGGCUACUCAGAUACAAAGAAAAUGAGCCAGAAUUUCAAGCAAGCCUGAGCUUAGAAUCUACACUAUUUUUUUUUUUUUUUUUGAGACAUGGUCUUACUUUGUCACCCAGGCUGGAGUUCAGUGGUAUUAGGUUGGCACAAAAGUAAUUGUGGUCUCUGCCACUUAAAACUAGAGCCCGAAACUGCAAUUACUUUUGCACCAACCUAAUGCACUUACCAGAGCUCACUUACGCCUUGACCUCCUGGGCUCAAGUGAUUCUCCCACCUCAGCCUCCCAAGUGGCUGGGAAUGUGGGCAUGCACCACCCUGCCCGGCUAGCUUUUCUUUCUUUUUUUUUUGUGGAGACAGGAUUUUGCCAUGUUGUCCCGGCUGGUCUUUAACUCCUGAGCUCAAACUAUCCUUCUGCCCUGGCCUCCCAAAGUUCUGGGAUUACAGGCAUGAGCCACUGUGCCCGGCCCAGAACCUAUGCUCCUAACUGCCACACCAAUUGACCUCUAUUCAGCCAUUUUUAUUUCUAUAGCACUUGGUAUAAUUUCACUUUGCACACAGUAUCUAUAGAUAAUCAUUCCAGGGCAUGUAAUCGUCAUAAGAUUAUUUAUGUUAUUGCAUGUGUAUUACUGCAUGUAAUCUUCAUGUGUUAUUGCCUCUAACAAGUUAUGUAUUUCCAUGUAGUCUUCAUAACUGUGUAUAGAAGACCAUUUUAGAGAUGGAAAACUGAGACUCAGAAGUGGUAAUUGUCCUACUGGUCAGAGAUUUAGCCAGGGUUUGGAUUGUGGAAUGCAGAGGACCACUUACUUUUCACUAGACCAUAAAUGCUCCUCACCACUGAGGCAUGUCAAAUGCCAGAUAUCUCCAGGAACCUUAGGCUACGUCUCCAUUGUUUUUGCUUUUUCCCCCCUUAGACACAGCUUGGCAAAGAACAAAUGAUCCCAAACACCAAACAGCACACUUGGAAACAUUUAACCCGCAUACUUUCAGACUUUCUGGCAUGGACCAACCUCUUGUCUUACCUUUGUUCCUGGCCAGAAAGAAAUGGCAUGAAAAGAUGGACAGUUUUUAUAACCUCUUUGAGCUCUAAACCAUGUUUCCUGUGCACUUAGGAGAUCUUAAUAGAAACCAAGUACUUCUUUUAGGCAUCUAUACUCUUAAUGCCGUAAGUCAAGUCAAGUACCCAGGUGGUUAAGAUAACUGUACCAACAGAAACAUUUUUAAAAAAUAUCCUAACACAACAUGAAGUGACCAUCGCGAAUUCAAAGAAGCAGGCAUAUUUCUUAAAGGUUGAAAAGAGGUGAGUCUUUCACAAGAUUCUAGCUCAAGGCCAUAUUUGCACAAGUAUAGUCAUUCCUCUAGCAAGGUUUUGUUUAUCUGGCCAUUAAAAAAAAUUAAAACAACUUUUACUUUCGGCUGUUUGAACAAGAACUGUUUUUCCAGCUGUGCAGUCUAAGGAGGAUACAAGAGGCCUGGUUUGGUUAUAUUUUUUCCAGAAUAAGAAAGUUUCCUACACAAUUCUGCUUGGGCUAAACUGCAUACAGAGCAGUUUAUUUAUACUGUUUUAUCGCACACCUGUUUGGAUAUGGGCUAUUUUCUGGUAUUUAAACAUACCGUUUCUUGCCAAUUGCUUUAUCUUCAGAGUCCUAUGGUUUGGCUGCAAAUGUUUGUUAUUAACUCAGAAAGAAACACCAAUUGCUCUAUGAACAUUAUUAGUGAGGACUAAGAUAACUUAAUUGUUACUUACUUCAAACAUGUUAUCACUGAAGAACUUUAUCCCAGAAAUCCAUUCAAAAUAAGGUAGAGGCCAUUUCACUAUACUUAAAGGGAAAAAAGGAGUUAACAAAGCCUUUUUGGAAUACAAUCUUUAAUGAAACACUGUUUUUCUAAAAAAAGCCACCUGCUUAUUUUGA